rnacentral:ncRNA from 1 species
GCAUGGUCCUGACCUUAUUAUUAGCUCUAACCCAACUUACACAUGCAGUCUCCGCAACCCCGUGAGUAUGCCCUUAAUCCCCUACCCGGGGACGAGGAGCGGGCAUCAGGCACAAAUUUUUAGCCCAAGACGCCUGGCCAAGCCACACCCCCAAGGGAAUUCAGCAGUGAUAAAUAUUAAGCCAUAAGUGAAAACUUGACUCAGUCAGGGUUAAGAGGGCCGGUAAAACUCGUGCCAGCCACCGCGGUUAAACGAGAGGCCCUAGUUAAUAAUACACGGCGUAAAGGGUGGUUAAGGGAAACAUAACAAUAAAGCCGAAUGGCCCUUUGGCUGUCAUACGCUUCUAGGUGUCCGAAGCCCAAUAUACGAAAGUAGCUUUAAUAAAGUCCACCUGACCCCACGAAAGCUGAGAAACAAACUGGGAUUAGAUACCCCACUAUGCUCAGCCAUAAACCUCGACGUCCAACUACAAUUAGACGUCCGCCCGGGUACUACGAGCAUUAGCUUGAAACCUAAAGGACCUGACGGUGCCUUAGACCCCCCUAGAGGAGCCUGUUCUAGAACCGAUAACCCCCGUUAAACCUCACCACUUCUAGCCACCCCAGCCUAUAUACCGCCGUCGUCAGCUUACCCUGUGAAGGCAAUAAAAGUAAGCAAAAUGGGCACAACCCAGAACGUCAGGUCGAGGUGUAGCGUACGAAGCGGGAAGAAAUGGGCUACAUUUUCUACUAACAGAACACUACGGACAUGCAACAUGAAAUAGUGCUUGAAGGAGGAUUUAGUAGUAAAAAGGAAGCAGAGUGUCCUUUUGAACCCGGCUCUGAGGCGCGUACACACCGCCCGUCACUCUCCCCUGUCAAAAUGCAAUAAAGUUACCUAACACCAAAGCGCUGACAAGGGGAGGCAAGUCGUAACAUGGUAAGUGUACCGGAAGGUGCACUUGGAUUAAAUUCAGGGCGUGGCUGAGUCAGUCAAGCAUCUCACUUACACCGAGAAGACAUCCAUGCAAAUUGGGUCGCCCUGAGCCAACCAGCUAGCUUAAUUAUUUAUAUAAUUUUACAAUAUUUAUAACAAAACAUGGCCUAACACCAUAAACUAAACCAUUUUUUUACCUAAGUACGGGAGACGGAAAAGGUUCAGCCCUAAAGCAAUAGAAAAAGUACCGCAAGGGAAAGCUGAAAGAGAACUGAAAUAACCCAUAUAAGCA